rnacentral:rRNA from 1 species
CAGCAGCCGCGGUAAUACGGAGGGGGCUAGCGUUGUUCGGAAUUACUGGGCGUAAAGCGCACGUAGGCGGCUGUGUAAGUCAGAGGUGAAAGCCCGGGGCUCAACCCCGGAAUAGCCUUUGAGACUGCAUAGCUUGAACACGGGAGAGGUGAGUGGAAUUCCGGGUGUAGAGGUGAAAUUCGUAGAUAUUCGGAAGAACACCAGUGGCGAAGGCGGCUCACUGGACCGUUGUUGACGCUGAGGUGCGAAAGCGUGGGGAGCAAACAGGAUUAGAUACCCCAGUAGUCCCUGUCUCUUAUAC